AUUGAACGCUGGCGGCAGGCCUAACACAUGCAAGUCGAACGAGUGGCGGACGGGUGAGUAAUGUCUGGGAAACUGCCCGAUGGAGGGGGAUAACUACUGGAAACGGUAGCUAAUACCGCAUACCAUCGGAUGUGCCCCGAUGGGAGUAGCUAGUAGGUGGGGUAAUGGAUCACCUAGGCGACGAUCCCUCGCUGGGCUGAGAGGAUGACCAGCCACACUGGACCUGAGCAACGUGCCAGACUCCUACGGGAGGCAGCAGUGGGGAAGAUUGCACAAUGGGCGCAAGCCUGAUGCAGCCAUGCCGCGUGUAUGAAGAAGGCCUUCGGGUUGUAAAGUACUGUCAGCGAGGAGGCGUUACUCGCAGAAGAAGCACCGGCUAACUCCGUGCCAGCCGCCGCGGUAAUAC
rnacentral:rRNA from 1 species